rfam:Capsicum annuum cultivar Zunla-1 chromosome 6, whole genome shotgun sequence
AGACUAUUAGUGGUGUGGACACUCCCUAAAAAGAGCCUUGAAGCAUUCCCAAGCAUGAUAAUAGUUUUCAUCAAUUUUCUAUUUGAAGCUCACUAUCUCACAGUAAAGUCU